CCGAGAUAGCUCAGUCGGUAGAGCAGAGGACUGAAAAUCCUCGUGUCAC
rnacentral:tRNA from 1 species